AUUGAACGCUGGCGGCCGGCCUAACACAUGCAAGUCGAGCGAGCGGCGGACGGUUGAGUAAUUUCUGGGAAACUGCCUGAUGGAGGGGGAUAACUACUGGAAACGGUAGCUACUACCGUAUACCAUCCGCUGUGCCCAGCUGGGAUUAGUUAGUGGGUGGGGUAACGGCUCACCUAGGCGACGAUCCCUAGCUGGUCUGAGAGUUUGACCAGCCACACUGGAACUGAGACACGGUCCAGACUCCUACGGGAGGCAGCAGUGGGGAAUAUUGCGCAAUGGGCGCAAGCCUGAUGCAGCCAUGCCGCGUGUGUGAAGAAGGCCUUCGGGUUGUAAAGCACUUUCGGCGGGGAGGCGUUACCCGCAGAAGAAGCACCGGCUAACUCCGUGCCAGCAGCCGCGGUAAUAC
rnacentral:rRNA from 1 species